ACCUGGGUGGCUCAGUUGGUUGAGCGUCUGACUUUGGCUCAGGUCAUUGUCUCACAGUUUGUGGGUUCAAGCCCCUCAUCAGGCU
rfam:Felis catus isolate Cinnamon breed Abyssinian chromosome B2, whole genome shotgun sequence.